rnacentral:rRNA from 1 species
GAUGAACGCUGGCGGCGUGCUUAACACAUGCAAGUCGAACGGAAAGGCCUCUGCUUGCAGGGGUACUCGAGUGGCGAACGGGUGAGUAACACGUGGGUGAUCUGCCCUGCACUUCGGGAUAAGCCUGGGAAACUGGGUCUAAUACCGGAUAGGACAAUGGUUUGGAUGCUGUUGUGGAAAGUUUUUCGGUGUGGGAUGAGCUCGCGGCCUAUCAGCUUGUUGGUGGGGUAAUGGCCUACGAAGGCGUCGACGGGGAGCCGGCCUGAGAGGGUGUACGGCCACAUUGGGACUGAGAUACGGCCCAGACUCCUGCGGGCGGCAGCAGUGGGGAAUAUUGCACAAUGGGAGAAAGCCUGAUGGAGCGAGGCCGGGUGGGGGAUGACGGCCUUCGGGUUGUAAUCUCCUUUCGCUAGGGACGAAGCGUUUUUGUGACGGUACCUGAAGAAGAAGCACCGGCUAACUACGUG